UCUCCGUAGGUGAACCUGCGGAGGGAUCAUUACAAGUGACCCCGGUCUUACCACCGGGAUGUUCAUAACCCUUUGUUGUCCGACUCUGUUGCCUCCGGGGCGACCCUGCCUUCGGGCGGGGGCUCCGGGUGGACACUUCAGACUCUUGCGUAACUUUGCAGUCUGGGUAAACUUAAUUAAUAAAUUAAAACUUUUAACAACGGAUCUCUUGGUUCUG
rnacentral:misc_RNA from 1 species